rnacentral:rRNA from 1 species
GACGAACGCUGGCGGCGUGCCUAAUACAUGCAAGUCGAGCGGACGGAUGGGAGCUUGCUCCCAGACCGUCAGCGGCGGACGGGUGAGUAACACGUGGGCAACCUGCCUGUAAGACUGGGAUAACUCCGGGAAACCGGGGCUAAUACCGGAUAACUCUUUCCCUCACCUGAGGGAAAGCUGAAAGAUGGCAUCUCGCUAUCACUUACAGAUGGGCCCGCGACGCAUUAGCUAGUUGGUGAGGUAACGGCUCACCAAGGCGACGAUGCGUAGCCGACCUGAGAGGGUGAUCGGCCACACUGGGACUGAGACACGGCCCAGACUCCUACGGGAGGCAGCAGUAGGGAAUCUUCCGCAAUGGGCGAAAGUCUGACGGAGCAACGCCGCGUGAGUGAUGAAGGUUUUCGGAUCGUAAAACUCUGUUGUCAGGGAAGAACAAGUACCGGAGUAACUGCCGGUACCUUGACGGUACCUGACCAGAAAGCCACGGCUAACUACGUG